AUACUUACCUGGAAGGGGUCUAUGAUUGAUCAUGAAGAGUCAUGGCCUAAGUUAGUGGCAUUCAUUGCACUUGGGAGGAGCACUGGCUUACCAUCUCCUCAAGUAGGAGAGUGGACGUCAUAGUUUAUGAUAGAGGGGUACGCGAACCGCGGCCCCUGC